UGAUUAAAAUUUUUUUUGUAUAGUUACAUCCUCAGCUUUCAUGUCAAGUAAGUUUAAAAAUUAUUAAUUUUUAGACUAUGAAUGCAUUUAUUACCAGUUGCAGUUUGUAUUUUUUAUUAAAACAAAUUUUACUUUUAGUUCCAUCGGCACCACCUUCAAACAGUAAAUUUAUGAAUCUGAAAUGACUCUGAUUGAUUAUUGAGUUCCUCUUAUUCCUAUUUAUAUAAUCUAUUUAAUACUUUUGUGUUUUAUUAUCUCUGCAAGUGCUAUAAAAGGAGAAUCAGAAGCUUAUACAUGUUUAAAUUUUUAUUCUGAUUAACUUUUAUUAAAAAUAUCAUUGAUUCAUUAAUCAUUCAUUAUAUUUAUUCAGACAAACUGUCUUAGUAAGUAUUUAUUUUAUAUUUCAUAAUUUUUAAUUGCAUGAAUUACAAAUAUAUUCAUAUUUUAUUUGUUUUUAGAGCUUGUAUAUGAAGCUUAUAGGUCAUUUCAAACUUAAAAUUAAAAUCAUUUACUAAAAGCCAAGACAGAGAGUAAUUACUAUGUUUUAAAACAUUUUUUUAUUUUUUUUAACUAGGUUGAUGGGUUAAAUAUGAUCAUUUAAAUGAGAAAAUGUAUACUAGUGCAACUUGUAAACUAAACUUGUAAAUGGGUGCUAUAACAUCACAACUACAUCUAUGGCUAACUCUAAGAUCACCUUAUUUUGUUUGGCAGUGUUUUGGAAUUAAGUUAUGGCAAUAUUUUGUGUAUAAAAUAUAACAAUUACAU